UCUCCUCUCUUCCUCUAAAUCGUCAGGGGAUACAGUAGAGCGACACGGAGGCCGCCGACGAGCGUUUUGCGGGAGGCUCCGCUAGGACGCCGUUGACAAGCGCGGGGAGCCGGGGUCGCUGGGAGGGCCACAAAAGGCCGACGAGCAUGAGACGCGAGGAGGAGGCGCGCGCCACGGAGAGGACUCCACCAGGAUGAUGUCUACUUCGCCAUGCCGCCGCCGCCGAGCUCUAGGAGGAGGCACGAUGCGGGGAGGGAUGCACAAGACUCUUCCACGCCCCUGCUGACGAGCGACGGCGGAGACGCCGCCGACAACCAACACGCAGCAGGGAUGCAGCCGUCGACUCCGCUACGCGGAUGAUGACGAGCGCGACGAGGAGGCUUCCGCCCCCUGAGUGGAUACGCCACCGACGACGAGCACCAAGCGUGAGAGUCCACCUCAAAGCGCGGAUCGACGGAGGACGCCGCCGCACAACGAGCAUCAGGGAAGGUCGCACGCUUGCUGCCGAGCACACACCAGGGAAGCCGUGCGCUCGCCACGGCACCACGCCUCGCGUUCCUAUACGACCGGGAUCAUAGAUGGACUUACUGGAGUGGAGUUUGAGCUAGAAGCUACUCAAAGAUGCAAGUGUGUUCUUAAUGCUGUGAUUGAAAGAUUUGCCACAGAAGCACGUCCACAGGCGGAAACCUGUCCAUGCCUGCCUCCAUGUACGGUUUGGGCGAGCCGCUCCAUCAUGACCGACGAGAGGGACAUUGACAACAUGGGAACAUCUUCAUUGGCUUAAUUGUUACAUCAAUUUUGUUUCGUCGGCUCCGGAGCAGAGUCUCCGAAGAUUGGAACAUCGACACACAGAGCCCAUAUGUGUUUGCACCUGCCCGAGGCUGAGCAUGUGGGCGUCCUGAUGCUGACGCUGGCUGGAUGACCACGAAGACCGUCUUGAAGCUGGUCCUUUCCAUUCCUCCCUUCUCUUCCGUUUGCAGUAUGAUGCUUAAUCCCUUUGGUCUCUAUUUUAUUUGCAGAAUUGCAGUACAAGACUGCUGCGGCUGGUGUCAAAUACAUGACAACUGCCUGAUUUAUCCGUGUGUAUUACACGCUACAUACAAUCAGCUUUGCCCAUGCAACUGAGGACGAAAGUGAUCAUGUGUAGCAGUUCGUGUCACAAAUUCUGAAGAAAUUGAGAUGCAAAGAUGAAAUAACAUCUGCAGUUUGAAGUCUGAAAAAUAUAUAGAUGAGGCCUGUAGAAGAUUGAGGCCCUCUUUGGAUCACCACCGGAGAAGGCAGUGCUGGAAUCCUGGUACUUUCCAUGCAAGCUGACACGCCAUCGAUCAAAACUAGAGCUGGAGGAUGAAAAACAUAUACAUGGAGCUGAAACCUCAAACAUAAAUUUUAAUAAGCAGUUUAGAUCUUUGCUAUAAGUCUUUCUAUCCAGAGGUUGUUGCUGACCCGAGCACAAGAAUUCAAGAAAGGACCAGAACAGAAGAACUAUAGAGAUUUCUGCAGGAGAAGUGGAUGAACGCACCAUACUGAAUUCUCUCCGUUGUUUGUUGCCUCUCGACUAGCAGUGUAUGCUACUCCUUUUGGCAAGUUUCUUGGGUUUGUUAUUACUCUAAGGACUGAAGGGGUGCUUUACUUCCUUUGAAGUAAUAAGAAGAGAAAAAAUUGCGGCCUUUCUCCUUGGUCUUAUUUUAAUUUUGAGAUGGUUGCAUUGUUCCUUAAUUUUUUGGUUAUACAAAUUUCAUAUGAAUUGGAUGAAGAUCCAUAGGUAUAUGUGAUGAGUUGGAGACUUUUUCAAAAUUUCCUUUUAUGCUAGGAUGCAGGGGGUAAUUUAGAAGGGGAAGUAUUGGAGCUAGAAGAAUGGAGUCAACAGAUUAAAACGUCAGCUAGCCAUAGCACAGGAGCGGCGUGCCGCCGCGCCAGCCAUUGCUAGUAUGUUUAACAUCAUGUUGAUUCCCUUGAUCUGUGAAUAGUCCUUUUGUUCUUGGGGGAGAUGGAGAAACCCUAGCUAUAUUAUGAUAUGAAGUAUAGAUGAUCUAUAACUUUGUACCAUGGUUAUGUGUUAGCUCUCUCUCUUGAUGUUAUGUGAAGUGCACCACGUAAUAUUUGCCUCCAGGACAAGAGAGGGAACUACCCUUUGAAGUAUGAUAUUGUGUACAACGUGAAGUGACAUACCGUGAUCGGCACACUAUCAUAUAAAUAGAUGAGGGGAAUAAGGAGGGACUCAUUAUGCUUGCGUCGAUAACCAUGGGAAAAAUCUUAAUUAUGAUGGAUCAAUAGGUGGUUUGCUGAAAAUCAUUGCAGUGGUUAUUAGGAGAUGUACUAGUACAUCUUAUUACCGAGUUCUCCUCAUACAUAACAUAACCAAAGACAUAGAUUAUCUUGCCAAUACUUAAUAGCAAUGCUAGUGGUGUAUCCUAUGCUCCUUGAUAACAUCUUAGCCAUAUUGUAAUUCCCGCAACCAUACUCGCUGCUCUCGGUUACAUUAGUUUCUUUCUUUGUUCUUGUUUACUUUUGCUCUCAAACACCAAACAAAUUUUAUAUACUCUAGCUUGGAAUUAGAAUAACUUGCAAGUACUCUCUAGACAAUAGUAGCGAGGGGCAUAAAGACCUCUAUCAGUAGCUUUCUGUGGUUCGAUACUCUCUUACUUCGAAACUAGCCACGAUUGGUUUGUUCACUUGCAGUCAUCAAGCUAUUUUAUGACGUUGUUGCCGGGGAGCUAAGCGAUUUAGGUCUUUCUUUUUAGUUAUUAGUUUAUCAUUGUUGUACUAAAGUUGUUUACUAGCUUCAAGUUAUUAUUGUUUAUUUAUGUUUAUCUUAUUUCUUUUACUUAUUUGAAAAGAACAAAAAAAAAUACAAAUUUUUUUUUUGUAAAACUUUUGUUACUAAUCAUGUCUUCCGAGAUGACUACCUUUGAACAGAUGAAACUUGUUAUGGAGGAGUCAAAUGACGAUUAAAAAGAGAAUGAAGAGGAAGCUCCACUUGAACUUGAAUUUCCUACUUUUGAAAAUAAACUUCCACACACAAAUAUUAUUCUUGUUCAUGAUGUCCCGAUCUCUAGUGUGAUUCCUAUAAGAUUCAAACCUAUGAUAAUUGUUCUGACAAGGCUUUGUGCCUAGAUAAUGAUUUUGGGAACUUUGGUGAGAAA